CUUUAAUGAUGUCUUAUUUGUCAGGUGUCAUGGGGUCAUGGAUGCUGGUUUGGAUUCUGUGUGCCACAGUCACUCUGAUGCCUGUGUGUCUUCACGGAGCAAUAUCGGUCCGUUUUAAAACCGGACGGCCUCUGUAUGUUGCGCUCGGACAAACUCUUGUUCUGGAAGCCGUGUUUGAGAAGGAUCCAGAAGACAAGAUAGACAUAGUGACGUGGGACCGCGAGAGAGGAAGAGAGCAUGUCAGGCUGUCACACAGAAACAGAAUAUCUUUGGAGAACGGAGAUGCACUUCUGCGGGUCACUGAUGUUGCAGAAGGGGACUUUGCGAUCUACAAGGUCACUGUUACAGACAGGAACGGAUACCAGCAGCACGACUCAAUAGAAGUGCGAAAGACAGUGGAAUCUCCAAAGGCGUCAAUAACACGUGUGCUGGAGUGCGUUGUGGAUAAUCACGGCAUGACGCAGUGGGACAGCCCUCAGUUUUCUUGGCUGGUUGAUGGUGUUACAGUAACCAAUCAAAGCGCUCUGUUAGCAGAUGGCAGUAGACUAGACAUCUCUAAAAUUAAGGGCGUUAACUACACCUGCAUCAUCAAGAGCAGCCUGGGGACGGUGACUACACAUCAUCAAAUACCAGAAGGUAUUGUUUAAUUCCAAGAACUCAUGGCAUUUUUUAACUUUGAGAGGUAAUUGUCCCAUGUAAAUGUUUUUUUUUCACCCUAAAAUGUUCAUCACACCAUGCCAAAAACACCAAGAGAAACAAGGAAACACUUUACAAAAAUGUUCCAUUAGGUAACAAAAUUAACUAACCAUGAGCAGUUCAUUUGUUACGGCGUUUAUUAAUGUUUGUUGGGGAAAUUUACUUUUAAAAGUCAUGCGUUACAAUAUUGCGUUACACUCUGAAAAACUAAUUAUGUUACAUUUGUGGAAAUUAAAUACUUUUGUGGAACUAUAAUGCAUUAUUGUAUGUUACAUUUUUGUUACUUUGUCUCAUUUGUGCUGGACUUGCUUGUUUGUUUUUAAUUAAUUGUAUCAUUUUUGGGGGCAAAUGUAAAACCACUUUCAUACCAAGAGAGAAAUGCAUGAGCCUCAUGCUGAAGGAAAUGUCAGUUCACAUCUGUAGAGGGCACAGAUCAAACAAACCUCUGAUAUUUUCAGAGUAAUGCAUUAAAAAGUAAUGCAUUACUUUACUAGUUACUUGAAAAAGUAAUCUGAUUACGUACUUGUAAUGCAUUACUAAUAAUACAACUGUUCAUUUUUUUAGUAUUAUUUUUUCUUUCGGGCCAUUACUGUAAAUAAUCGUUUUAACGUCUCCCGUUCGUGUUCUGGUCAUUUUGACCUGGAGAGGACCGUGUGAUGUUAUUGAUCAGGACUAUAAUCUAUAUAUAUAUAUAAAAUCUAUAGUCUACUAUACUACUAUAAUCUAAUCUAUAAUCUACUAUAAUAAAAACUAUUCACACAUGGUAUAAUAACUUUCUUUUCUUUUUCUUUCCUUCUGGUUUUCUUUCUCUCGUUUAAGUGGAUAUUGUUAAAAUUAUCCAAAAAUAAUGUGUUAUUUUUUAACUAAUACAGUUGUAAAUGUUGAAAUUAACUAAGAUUAAUAAAUGCUUUUUUCAUUGAUAGUUAAUCUUAACUUUUGUAAUUAACAAAUGGAAUAUUAUCGUAAAGUGUUGAUGAUUUAAAAGUGCCAAUUCUCAAAGGCUUUUCAUCAAAAUCAUCAAAAUUUUUGCUCAAUUUUGUGCACAACCCAAUUCAUAUUCAUGAGAUAAGCUUUUGUUGAUUCAUCAUAACCAGCUCAUCUAUGCAAAUAUGCACUUUUUGAUAGUGGGCUAUAGAACAGUAAACUUUCAUCAGAUCUUCCUCAGAUUGUUUUGAUGUUGACGAGCAAAAGUUAUUAAACAUUUUCAAUAUGCCUAAACUAUUCA
rnacentral:lncRNA from 1 species